rnacentral:lncRNA from 1 species
CAGUAAGAAUUUCUGUCUUGCUACAGCUGUUUUCAUUGCAACAAUGUCUCGUAAUAAUAUAUAGGCAAGUUUUCAUAAAACUUUGACACCAUGUAUUAAAACAUGCUAACUUGAAUUGAAUUAAAGAACUGUGACCUUCCAUGUCAACUAUCACGCAUAGAAAUCGAGAGCGAAUAAUCUAAAACUCGAUAGAAACACAGUACAUGUUUUCUAUUUCCUAAGUAUCAGUCACCUAUAGUGUAAGUGUAAAUUGGCACAAAUCAUGAAGUAGUUCUGUUCACACGCAUGAACCAGGCCCUCCUGUUGGAGAAUGAAAUUUUGUCUCUUUUUCUUUUCUCUCUUUCCAUAGCUCAACGAAACUUCAGCAUCGGCAGGCGGGUUCAUAGACGAGUCUGCAGAUUUGCAAACAAUCGACACAGAGAUUUUUAGUAGACUGCAUGAGGUCCUACAACCAAUCAGUCCAGUCAUCCAGAAUGUUCCAUCACAGCAUCCUGCUUCCAGCAGCCCUGGUCCAGCGGGUCCCGUGACAGAUGAACUCAUCAGAAGCUGCGUGACACCAAGGAAAGUGCCUAAAGUCCGUCAGACUCUAGAGGGUGAAAAACAACACCACAGAUGCGCCAUUGAGCUGCUGCCCUACUUCUUUUCAAAAGAGGAGCUCGCAGUAGGCAACACUGAUGGAAACUUCAACAAAGACGCACCUGACCGGACUAAACUUCACUCACUGAUAGUUUUGAUUUUCACGAAGUUUCCCGUUGGAGCGAACGAGGAUGAACUCAAAUACUGGCGAGCUGUUAAAGGAGAGAUAAAUGCGAAAUGUAGAGCCUUUAGAUUUGCACAGUCAAGCCGUGUCAAGGUGGAAAAUUCGCGUUUAAUCUCACUUGUAAAUAGUAACUUUUCAAUAAAUUUGGAGUGUUGCUAAGCUACUUGUAAACCAUAACAAUAAAGUAUUAUAUGCAUCAUAUCUGUCUCAUUUGUGAUCACAUCGUUGUCGACAAGGCUACUCCUUUUGUUUACAUCCAACCGAAACCGGAUCGCCUUAAAAACACUGACAAAAGUCCCGUGACCUGAGAAACUGCAUCAAUUUGGCACGAAAGUAAUUGCCAGGCUCACAGAGACUAAACAUGGUGAACUCCACACACCUUGUGGUGUUUACUUUUACAAACUUAACAUAUUUGAAAACAUUUGGAACGCGGUUUGAUAAGUUCCGCACAAAACACUUCGUAGACCGAGUAGUUUUGAGCUAGAAAAGUCUCCUCUCUCCUUCCUCUCUCCACUAUUCUGGUCCUGAAGGAUUUACAUAGCGGGGCCCUGGGAUCAAACAAUUGGUUGCUAUGACAAUACUAUAAUCGGGGUGUCCUGGGCACAAUGUUGAUUCACGACUUGCAGAAGGGUUCGCGGGUUUUCGACUUGUACGCAGAAAGAUUUCACAGUUUAACAAUAUUACGGACACAAAAGUGAAGAAAGAGACCUCUACAAAAAGUCGCUCGCAAUGCUGAUGCUUAGUUUGGUUUAAGGAGUGGGAAAUAUGCGACAGUUAUCGUUAUUUUACAGCAGCGAAUUUCGAUUAUCAGCACAACCUGUCCAUCCUUUGUAGAUCAAGAACACUGUUUACCUUUAUAAACGGACUGAGUGCAGCGAGGUCCGUACUGUUCUCAGGCCGAUAGUUAGUCAAGAACUGGCAAGUUCCAGCAAUCAAGAGCAAGAAUGGUGGGAUAAUAAAAGACAAGGACACUUGCCUUGAAAGAUGUACUGAACACACUGAGGAGAUACCAGUCAGAGAAGCUCUGAUGAACCCAACUGAAAAACACGAAGUGGACACAGAUGACAUUGGCAAGAUGGACGCGAAUGAGAUAAGAGAUGCAGAGGUGAGGCAACACAAGCAAAAAAAGUACCAGGAAUUGAUAAGAUCCCAGUAGAGUUGAACAAAACAGACAGCAACAUCAUGCAGUAAAAGAACUGACAAGAUUGUUCAACAAGACAUGGCAGGCAGAGAAGGUACUUGAAAAAAUGGAAGAAAGGCCUGAUAUCCAAGCUUCCUAAAACUGAGAUCUUAUCAAGAGUGUUAAAACUAGCAUGGACACAGUGUUACAGUACCUGUAGACAGCAAAGUAAUGGGGAGGGUAAUCAAUACACCGUGAAGAACUGUGGAGAAUCAUGAACGCCUGUGGCAUCCUUGACAAGGUGAUAAGCAUGGUGAAGUUCAUGUGUGUUAAAUGUUCAGUACUUACUAGAUGAGGGAGAGCUGGCAAGAUGGUUCAAGGUCAUCAUGGGUGUUAAAGAAGGUUACAUCAAGUCAGGGUUCCUGUUCUUGCUCACAGUGGACUAGAUGACAUAAGGACAACAGAAGGGCAGGGAAAGAGCAUCAGAAGCAACUUCAAAGGUGUAUUCUUGAUUUUGCUGACAAUAUACAUAUAGUCCUUGUUUCAUCAAAGUAUGAGCACAUUCAGAACAAGAGUGACCAACUGGUAGACAUUGCAGGAAGAUUGGGACUGAAGCUGAAUGCAAGGAAAGUGAUGAGAAUGAAUGCACAAAGAUAAAGAGAAAGUUAAGACUGGACAUGAGGAAGUGGAAGAUGUAGAUGAAGGGUUUUUAAACCUGAUGAUGAAGAUCUCACAAAAAAAUGGUCGGAGCACGAAAGACACUGGUGUGCUCAGCAUCCAUACUAUAGUAUGGAUGUGAAGCCUGGAAAAUAACAACUUACAACAGUAGAGAAGAGGCUGGAUAGAUUCCAAAUGAUACAUGUGCCUGAGAAAGAUCCUAAGAAUAUGGUGAACACAACACGUUAGAAACAAGACAAUAUCUGAAAGAAUAUAGGCAUGAAUAAGAUCAGUGAUGAGAUCAAAAGGAGAAAAUGGACAUGUGCUCCGAAUGGAGAGGAAUAAUGACUGCAUGGUGGUGAUGGAGUGGCAGCCUGAUGGAAAGAGGCAAGUGGGAUAGCCAAAGAUCACAUGGAGAAGGACAAUGGAGAAGGAGCCCAGAUAGGAUCAGGAGUGGGCCAGCUGGACAGAACCCAGGGGUGGGGCACAAGACAGGGCUGGUCGGAGAUUAUAACUAAUCUUGUCUUCUCAGUCCAUAUUAUAAGUUACGGAAUCGAUCCACAUUUUUUUUCCCUUAAAUCAUGGCCCGCAUGCUUCGUACUUGCAUGCUAAAUCAAAGGGGAGAAAAACUUGGUUUGUAACUUACAAUACAUGUACACAUGUACACGUACCUCAAACUCAGUUAGUAAGAGGUAAUACAUGUACAUUGAAUUUACACCUUAAAAAUGUUUAACAUGUACUGUACUUACCAGCUGAUGGACCAGAAUAUGAGACUUCCAGUAGGAAAAUUAUAAGUAGCUGAUGCAUCUCAACAUUUCCUAUAAAGAAUCAUCCAGAACAAACACCAAACCAGCAUUAAAACACGACAUCAUAAUAGCAAAACAAAUCAAAAUGGCAAUACUUGAAUUGUAACAGUGUUGUAUUUAAGGUUACUUUUAAAUUGCAAAACACAGUUUGUAAGCCAGCCUAAAUGAGUUCUACAUAAAUGUACACUGUAUAUAUGAUUGCUCAUGUCAUCAUGUGAAGCAUUUUCUAAAACUCGAGCCUCCCCAAGUUCCUCUUCUCAUUUGGAAUAGGCCGCGUUCAAUAUAUCAAUAUUCUAACAUGGCUCUGAGGCUUUAGGGUCAAAAUUGUAAUUCUUUUA